GUAAGUUAUGAAGGGCGCACGGUGGAUGCCUAGGUGCUAAGGACUGAAGAAGGGCGUGGCAAGCUGCGAUAAGCUGCGGGGAGUUGCAAGCUGACAUAGAUCCGCAGAUACCCGAAUGGGGGAACCCGGCAUAUGAUAGUCAUGUGUCGCCGUCUACUGAAUAGAUAGGUAGCGCGGCGGGAACCCAGGGAACUGAACCAUCUAAGUACCUGGAGGAAAAGAAAAUAAUAAUGAUUCCCUAAGUAGUGGCGAGCGAAAGGGGAAGAGCCUAAACCGGCCAAGGCGUAUAAGCCUGGAAGCGUUGCCUGGCUGGGGUCGUGGGGCUGCACGUCGUCUCGUUUCAGAGGGACGGACGGGUAUGUGGCCAUGGUAGCCGAAAGGUCUGGAAAGGCCUGCUAUAGGGGGUGAUAGCCCCGUAGGCGAAACCAUGGGAGGCCUGUGGUGUAGAACCCGAGUACUACGGGAUCUGGGUAAGCUCGUGGGAAUUAGCGUGGACCGUCACGUAAGGCUAAAUAUUACUUAGCGACCGAUAGUGAAACAGUACCGUGAGGGAAAGGUGAAAAGCAUGCCGACGAGGCAAGUGAAAGAGAACCUGAAACCGUGUGCCUGCAAGCAGUCAAAGGGCUAUGCAUUGCUUCGGCGAUGAAUGCCUGAUGGCGUGCCUAUAGAAGAAUGAUCCGACGAGUUACCGUAUGUGGCGAGGUUAAGCCGGGAAUGGCGGAGCCGUAGCGAAAGCGAGUCUGAAUAGGGCGAUAGUCGUAUGCGGUAGACCCGAAACUAGGUGAGCUACCCUUGGUCAGGAUGAAGCCCUGGUAACACAGGGUGGAGGUCCGCAUGCCUCAACGUUGAAAAGUUGAGCAAUGAACUGUGGGUAGGGGUGAAAAGCCAAUCGAACCUAGAGAUAGCUGGUUCUCCCCGAAAUAGUUUUAGGACUAGCCUCGGAGUGUAGACUAAUGGGGGUAGAGCGCUGGAUGGGCUAGGGGGCAUACCAGCUUACCAAACCCAACCAAACUGCGAAUACCAUUAGUUGGUCUCCGGGAGUCAGGCAGUGGGGGAUAAGCUUCAUUGCCGCGAGGGAAACAGCCCAGACCGCCGGUUAAGGUCCUUAAGUUCACGCUAAGUGGUAAAGGAUGUGAAGAUCCUUAGACAGCCAGGAUGUUGGCUUAGAAGCAGCCAUUCAUUUAAAGAGUGCGUAAUAGCUCACUGGUCGAGGGUCUUUGCGCCUAAAAUGUAACGGGGCUAAAGCGUGGCACCGAAACCGCGGCUUUUGUGACAUUUCGUAUGUCAUGAAGGGGUAGGGGAGCGUUCUGCAGUAGGAUGAAGGUAUACCGUAAGGAGUGCUGGACGAGGCAGAAAUGAGAAUGUCGGAACGAGUAGCGAUAAGACAGGAGAGAAACCUGUUCGCCGUAAGCCUAAGGUUUCCUGGGGAAGGUUAAUCCUCCCAGGGUUAGUCGGUCCUAAGCUGAGGUCGAGAGACGUAGGUGAAGGGAAUCAGGUUAAUAUUCCGUACCAUGGGUUGGCUGGGUUAUCGAUGGAGUGACGCAGGAGGGUAUGGCCGCACGACGGGGGCGCAAGCAGUCGUGUCGAAGGGUGCAGGCGAGACUGGAUAGGGAAAUCCGUUCAGUUGUUAAGCUGAGGCCUGAUAGGCUCCCGAAUUGAGUAGGGGGUGUGACCAGAUCCCAUGCUGCCGAGAAAAGCUUCUAAGAGAGGCUGAUCCGUGACCGUACCGCAAACCGACACAGGUGGGCGAGGAGAGAAUCCUAAGGCGCUCGAAAGAACCCACGUUAAGGAACUAGGCAAAUUAACUCCGUAACUUCGGGAGAAGGAGUGCUCCGGUAGUGUGACAACCAUGCGCGAGAGUAAUCGAGUGUAGCGGUUGGUAGCAUGAGGGAGUCGCAGAGAAUAGGCUCAGGCGACUGUUUAUCAAAAACACAGGACUCUGCUAAGGCGAAUAGCCGAAGUAUAGGGUCUGACGCCUGCCCAAUGCUGGAAGGUUACGGGGAGGGGUCAGAAGUGGUAACACUUCGAAGCUCUGAACUUAAGCCCCAGUGAAUGGCGGCCGUAACUAUAACGGUCCUAAGGUAGCGAAAUCCCUUGUCGGGUAAGUUCCGACCCGCAUGAAUGGCGUAACGGUCUGAGCACUGUCUCAACGUGGGGUUCGGCGAAACUGUGAACUGGGUGAAGACGCCCAGUACCCGUAUCAGGACAAAAAGACCCCGUGGAGCUUUACUGUAACUUGCUAUUGGAUUUUGGCCUUGUAUGUAGAGCAUAGGUGGGAGACUAUGAAGCUAGGGCGCAAGCCUUGGUGGAGUCACCAGUGGAAUACCACCCUUAUGAGUCUGGAAUUCUAACCAUCGCCCGUUGAUCCGGGUGUGGGACAGUGGCAGGCGGGCAGUUUGACUGGGGCGGUCGCCUCCCAAAAUGUAACGGAGGCGUCCAAAGGUUCCCUCAGCGUGAUUGGAAACCACGCGUAGAGUGCAAAGGCAAAAGGGAGCUUGACUGUGAGGCAAACGAGCCGAACAGGGACGAAAGUCGGGCUUAGUGAUCCGGUGGUUCCGAAUGGAAGGGCCAUCGCUCAACGGAUAAAAGCUACCCCGGGGAUAACA
rnacentral:rRNA from 1 species